rnacentral:lncRNA from 1 species
GGCUGCGUGCUGGCUCCCAGAAGAGGAACCUGCUGCAGGCGCCGGCGCGGGCGGCGAGGACGACCUGUUUUUCUGACCCAGCCCGGAAGCGCUGGUGCAGGCCCUGUGCUGCAAGGCGCCCAUACCUCCAGUCCGCACCUCAGGAGUCCUUCCCGUGUCCUCUGGGAGUUCCUGCCCAUGCUGGCUGAGGCCCCAGGCCUUGAGCUUCCUUUUUUCUUCUCGCUGUGGAAAUUGCCUGGAAAGCUAUGAACUGUUGGUUCUUGAAUCAGUUGGCUGCCCCGGAUGUCUGAAUCCCUUGGAAGGAACCUGGAGGAGUUGGCUGAUGGGCUCCAGAGCGGGGCACUUGAGAUGUUCAAAGUGCUUCCUGAGAGACGGCCAAAGGGUGUUCCCUGGGUGGCCUGGGAGUCCAAGAGACAUGUACUCUGGGGCAGGAAGAGGGCAGGUGCUACCGGAUCACCCUAACAACCCUCUGGGACCUGUGGCCAUGUGUUCACAACAGCAGCCAUUACAGGUGUUUCCUGAACUCUUGUCGCGAGCCUCUGUCGGCUCCAUCUCAUCGAUCCUCCCAGCAACCCACAAGGAAGCUUCACAGAGAGGCAGAUGCCACACAGGCCACCCACCCAGAUGCAGAGCCAGAUUCCCUGCGUGGACUGGACGGGAGUUUCCCAGCUGGAGUUCUCUCGGCCAAGCUGCCUGUGACAUGGGGUUGGAGGUGCUCCAGAGAGUCAUGGCCACCCCUGGAGGAAGUGACUUGUGGCUGACUGCUCAAGGGGAAGUCCUGUGGCAGUGGAGUCGUCAGCAUUAAUUCAAAUAAGAUCUCUCCCUGCACACAAUCUGCUUUCGUGUUCCUGAUGGAUUGAAUCAAGAGUGAAUGAGCUCCUACUUCGCGAAAGCAAAACAAACUAAACGCAUCAACCACGACCGCAGAGCCCCCAUCUCUCCCAGGAGGGUGAGCCCAUGUUGUGUUUUCAUUUGUCAGAAAUCUAUCUUAGGAAGCCAUUCCUGAGAUCUGUUCUAAUUUAGGCCAUUUUUAAAAAAAAUAAUGCAGUUGAUUCUUUUCCCGUGAUCUUUCUUUUCUCCAUGACUUAAAUUUCCCCAGGAACUAUUCAAAUGCCGCAUCUGGGGUUUUGUUUUUGUUUUUUGAUGAAGUCAUGACUUUCUUUAAACAGUAAUUAUUAAACAAACCAAAGGGAAA